CUCUAAACACCACAAGAGAGUAAUAACAAACACAGCAACGAAUUUUAUAAGAAGAGUAUUUAGCAUUAGUGAUCCAGACUUUCAUCCUGACAAUGAGAGGAAAAUAAAGGCAAUUCUUAGAGCCAACGACUUCCCUAAUUGGACAAUUAAUUCACUAUUAGGCAAGGCCAAGGAACGUCUUGGAAAAAUCAUAGACGGAGAGCAGCCUACAAAAGGAAAAAUUUAUAAAUCGCUAACAUACAUACAAGGAUUCUCCGAAAGAUUUGGCAAAUCAAAUCUAUACGACAAGGACAAAUACCAUCUCGCAUUAAAAACAGGCAAAACUGUGAAUGAAUUAUUCAGCAAGACAAAAUGUAAAAUUAAAAAUGAGGAAAAAUCAAACGUGGUAUAUAAAAUUAGAUGUAACGGCGACAAGUCCAAUAUAUGCCCGAUGGCAUAUAUUGGCACUACCAUGACGAAAUUGAAAACUAGGUUAUCUGCACAUAAAUCUGACCAAAAAGCCAAUAAUAGACCAAUCGAGCAGAAAACUGCACUAGCAGCCCACUGUGCAUUGACUGGUCAUAAGCCAAACCUCAACGAUGUGGACAUCUUAGCUCAAGAGAAUAAUUACAGACGAAGAUUCACUCUCGAGAUGUUGCAUAUCAUCGACUUACCGCCUGACGAGAGAAUGAAUUUCAAGAAAGAUAUAGAAAGCUGCGCGAAGGUAUACCGCCACACAGUCAACAAGCACAGCAGAAGAGAACAUUUAGUUGCCAACAGACAAUAGUUCGUGUAACAACUCAUUAAAUCCUUGAAAAUGGUAGACGGAGUCUACCGAAAUAUUGGAGAAAAAUAAAAGAAAAAAACCUUAAA